UCUGGGGGUUGGGAGAGUGAUUUCAGGGAUUGGUAAUUUCUCUUUCACUCUCUUUCAGACUCUUCCUUUCUCCUAACUCUCCAUCUCUCUCAACUUUAGUGCUACCCCUAAUUUGUUCUUUCAUUCCUCAAUUUUCUCCAUCCGGGCAAUGAAAAAUCGAACUGGGUUUUCAGAUUAUUGAUGCUUCACGGACAGAGAAUGGAGAGAGUUGAUUGAGGGAUUGGUGAGUAUGGGCUUGCACAGAGGGAACUGCUCUUCCUUUCUCUCCGCUCCCUAUAUCUCUCGAUGUGAAGCCCACAAACCAAGUAGUGACGGUUGAAAGCCUCAAACAUGCCGGGCGCGAAAUGGUGGUACAGUGACGGUCGACAACCGCCUCCGUUGUCUAUGAAUUUGGCCGUCAGAAAGCGUCUUACGGGUUCUUGGGAUGUGAGAGUCGAUCUUCCUAAUGCUAGCGGCGAUGGCCGAAAACAACAUCGGCAAAAUUCUGCAGAAGAAGGGUACCGUCAUUCUUCCUCCUCUCUCUUUCAAGCUCAAGGUGGUACUGAAAUUGGAUUUACAUAAGGACAAAGAAAAGCAAGAGGCCUUGAAAGCAGUCUCCAGCCUUACAGGCACAUUCAUCAGAAUCGGACUCAAUGGGAAUGGAAAUUUGUCGAGUUUUAUGUUUUUAUAGAAGAAGAAGAAGCUCAGAAGUCUGAUACGUUAAGCAACUCCAUCUGAAAGCAGAAGAAUCCAAAGGAACUGCGAUCCAGUGGCUGGAUGGAAGAAAAGGACAAUGCAAGCUCUCUCUCUCACAGUAGCUCCGUGUUCCUCUCCCCCCCAAACCUAAUGGCUUCGGCCCAAUUUGGAGCCUGCUUGGAUCGAGACCCCUUGGAGAUUCGGAGCUCCAGGUGGUAACAAAUUAACGAUGUCAACUCCUACAAGGAAGAGGCUGAUGAGAGACUUCAAGAGCUUGCAACAAGACCCGCCUGUAAGAUUAGCAGGGCGCCUCAAGAUGACAAUGUAAUGCUGUCGACAAGCUAGGGUUUAGACGAGUCCACCUGCUAUGGUGAAAAUGGAAGAUGCUAAAUUUUGCUCGAUGGAGAUUUGUGUAAUUGGUUGGCUUCAAGACGGUUUACAAGGCAAGGCUCUAUAUUCAUCUUCAGAUUGGUCCAUAUAUUUGUUUAGAAUGGAAUUUUGGGUAUUGAUCAUUUUCCUCAGCAUUUUUUUGUUUCAUCAAAGAUUUAGUCCGACAAUUGCUCGGGUGACAAUGUCCAUUGGUGAGAUUGGUUGGAUUAGCCCACUUUUCUGUUGGUAUAUAUUUACUUAUGCGGCUUUUUGUAUAUAUUAGACUUCUCAUGCUGUAAUUUAACAGAUUUAAUAGUUCUUUCAAUGAAUAGCUCAUCAGUAUCCAUUUUGAAAUCAACAUCGUUUACUUUCAUAUUGAUUUACCGUCACCUAACAAGGUUUCUUUGGACCCAAAACCAAUCAUAAUUAACUAUUCGCUAAUCUAUUCAAGAAUCAAGGAACCUUGCGUUUAUAAUUUAAUCCUAAUUUUUUUUCUCUUUGCUGGACAAAAAACUACCAGGGAAGGAAGAGACUGCCAAGAAAGUAAACCCAGACCGGAGAAGACAAGCAAUGGCGGAGGAACCAAGGCUGUAGAUCUUUGAUAAAAGCACUGACAAUGUCAUCGCUCUUUCCAUUCCUUUAUUUUUUGGUGAGUGCUCACUUAUUAAUAUUGUUGUUGCUUUUAGUUUUUAAAUUUUAUGAAAAAUGCAACCUUCAAACCCUGUUGAAGUCGAUUUGGUAUCUCAAGAUUCCAAAUUAUUGUUUGCAG